rnacentral:rRNA from 1 species
CUCCUACGGGAGGCAGCAGUGGGGAAUAUUGCGCAAUGGGCGAAAGCCUGACGCAGCAAUGCCGCGUGAGGGAUGAAGGCUUUUGGGUCGUAAACCUCUGUCAAAUGGGAAGAAUUCUGACGGUACCAUUAAAGGAAGCCCCGGCUAACUCCGUGCCAGCAGCCGCGGUAAU